rnacentral:lncRNA from 1 species
CGGUGAGUGUUACAGCUCUAUUAGAAGCCGUGGGUCACAGAAGAGAACCGUGGAACCUAGAGACCAGUGUUCAGCUCGAUUGGGACGAACCUGGGCACUUAGCCGUGCAGAAACAAUGGCGAGCCUUUAGCCGGAUCGGGAGCAGUAAUGGGUGCCUCCAUGGACAGCGGACACCCUGCCGGAUCCAGAGGGGUGGAAGUCAGCGGCGGGUCUGCGAUGUGGGCAAACAACAGUGGUGGACACCAUUUAUUUGAGGAUGUGUACUCUGGAUAAUGUCUUAAAGUUGGAUUGUGGAUUUCUUAUUUCAUGAGCUGGACACAAUUUCUCAUGACAUUAUGCACCUGGCUCCAAUGCUGCUAUUAUUAUAAUGUACUCUUUAUGUAUGAUAUUUUCACAAUUAAACAAAAUCAUUUUUGAUAUUUUUGCUUGUGAUUAAAAUAGAACUUAUAUUG